AAAUUGAAGAGUUUGAUCAUGGCUCAGAUUGAACGCUGGCGGCAGGCCUAACACAUGCAAGUCGAGCGGUAGCACAGAGAGCUUGCUCUCGGGUGACGAGCGGCGGACGGGUGAGUAAUGUCUGGGAAACUGCCUGAUGGAGGGGGAUAACUACUGGAAACGGUAGCUAAUACCGCAUAAYGUCGCAAGACCAAAGUGGGGGACCUUCGGGCCUCAUGCCAUCAGAUGUGCCCAGAUGGGAUUAGCUAGUAGGUGGGGUAACGGCUCACCUAGGCGACGAUCCCUAGCUGGUCUGAGAGGAUGACCAGCCACACUGGAACUGAGACACGGUCCAGACUCCUACGGGAGGCAGCAGUGGGGAAUAUUGCACAAUGGGCGCAAGCCUGAUGCAGCCAUGCCGCGUGUAUGAAGAAGGCCUUCGGGUUGUAAAGUACUUUCAGCGGGGAGGAAGGCGAUAAGGUUAAUAACCUUGUCGAUUGACGUUACCCGCAGAAGAAGCACCGGCUAACUCCGUGCCAGCAGCCGCGGUAAUACGGAGGGUGCAAGCGUUAAUCGGAAUUACUGGGCGUAAAGCGCACGCAGGCGGUCUGUCAAGUCGGAUGUGAAAUCCCCGGGCUCAACCUGGGAACUGCAUUCGAAACUGGCAGGCUAGAGUCUUGUAGAGGGGGGUAGAAUUCCAGGUGUAGCGGUGAAAUGCGUAGAGAUCUGGAGGAAUACCGGUGGCGAAGGCGGCCCCCUGGACAAAGACUGACGCUCAGGUGCGAAAGCGUGGGGAGCAAACAGGAUUAGAUACCCUGGUAGUCCACGCCGUAAACGAUGUCGAUUUGGAGGUUGUGCCCUUGAGGCGUGGCUUCCGGAGCUAACGCGUUAAAUCGACCGCCUGGGGAGUACGGCCGCAAGGUUAAAACUCAAAUGAAUUGAGGCCGGGAACUCAAAGGAGACUGCCAGUGAUAAACUGGAGGAAGGUGGGGAUGACGUCAAGUCAUCAUGGCCCUUACGACCAGGGCUACACACGUGCUACAAUGGCAUAUACAAAGAGAAGCGACCUCGCGAGAGCAAGCGGACCUCAUAAAGUAUGUCGUAGUCCGGAUUGGAGUCUGCAACUCGACUCCAUGAAGUCGGAAUCGCUAGUAAUCGUAGAUCAGAAUGCUACGGUGAAUACGUUCCCGGGCCUUGUACACACCGCCCGUCACACCAUGGGAGUGGGUUGCAAAAGAAGUAGGUAGCUUAACCUUCGGGAGGGCGCUUACCACUUUGUGAUUCAUGACUGGGGUGAAGUCGUAACAAGGUAACCGUAGGGGAACCUGCGGUUGGAUCACCUCCUUACCUUAAAGAA
rnacentral:rRNA from 1 species